UCUGGUUGAUCCUGCCAGACCCGACUGCUAUCGGAUUGGGAUUUAGCCAUGUUAGUUGUGCGUCCUUGGCUACAGGGACGCAGCGUACGGCUCAGUAACACGUAGUCAACCUGCCCUGGAGACGCGGACAAACCCGGGAAACUGGGGCCUAUCCGCGAUAGAUGACCUCAUCUGGAAGGAGAGGUCGUCGAAAAGGGCGCACGGGUAUGCUCUGUGCGAACCGCUCCAGGAUGGGACUGCGGCCGAUCAGGCUGUUGGCGGGGUAAUGGCCCACCAAACCUGUAACCGGUACGGGCUUUGAGAGAAGGAGCCCGGAGAUGGACACUGAGACAAGGGUCCAGGCCCUACGGGGCGCAUCAGGCGCGAAACCUUCGCAAUGCGCGAAAGCGUGACGAGGCUAGUCCGAGUGCUUCCUGCUAAAGGGAGCUUUUCUCGGCUGUAAAUAGGCCGGGGAAUAAGGGGAGGGCAAGUCUGGUGUCAGCCGCCGCGGUAAUACCAGCUCCUCGAGUGGUCGGGACGAUUAUUGGGCCUAAAGCACCCGUAGCCGGUUCCGUAAGUCCUCUGUUAAAUCCAGUCGCUCAACGGCUGGUCUGCAGAGGAUACUGCGGGACUAGGAGGCGGGAGAGGCGGACGGUACUCCGCGUGUAGGGGUAAAAUCCUUUGAUCCGCGGAAGACCACCAGUGGCGAAGGCGGUCUGCCAGAACGCGCUCGACGGUGAGGAGUGAAAGCUGGGGGAGCGAACCGGAUUAGAUACCCGGGUAGUCCCAGCCGUAAACGAUGCGAGCUAGAUGAUUCGAUCGCAGUUCGCGAUCGAAGUGUCGCAGGGAAGCCGUUAAGCUCGCCGCCUGGGGAGUACGGUCGCAAGGCUGAAUCGUAAGAAGAUUAUUCUUCUUGCGCAGUUCACUUAAAGGAAUUGGCGGGGGAGCACCACAAGGGGUGAAGCCUGCGGUUCAAUUGGACUCAACGCCGGG
rnacentral:rRNA from 1 species